CGUGCUCCGUGGGUGAGGCGGCGGCCGUAUAUCAUCAUUUCUGUGCCGUGACUGUCUCAAUCGGGUCCGCAAGGGCA
rnacentral:snoRNA from 1 species